rnacentral:lncRNA from 1 species
AUAUUUUUAAACUGAAGUACAGUUGAUUUAUAUUCCUAUAUUUGUUUUGGGUGUACAACAUAGUGAUUCGAUACUUUUAUGGAAUGUACUCUAGGUGAGGUUACUGCUGUGCUCUCCUUCCCGUCGACUCUCUCCUCCGAAGAGAGCAGAGAUGCCCCUCGUCUUCCAGCCCAGCUCUCCGUUGUUUCUCAACACCUCAGCGGGACAGAGCCUGCCAGAACCGAGGUGGAACUGGAGUUGGGCAUGAAGAAGUGCUGCCACCUGUGGACAUUUCCUUUAACUACAACGUGACUCUGGUUCUAUCUGCACUUUCAAUUCACAAGGCCUCUGGUGCCCUUAGCAACGGCUGCCCUCAAGAAAGGUCUUUCAGCAG